CUCAAGUUUAUUUCAUGCCUCUCCAUUUGGUGUACGAUCUGGUUGUGGGCAACAAAAAUGUUAAUAUUUUAUAAGAAUGAAGGAUCAAGGACAUCUCUAAGAAUAAGGACCUAUGGUUUCUGGAGGGAGGAUAAAAGGUCUUCAGUUCUCUCUGAGGAAAAAAGACGAGUGAGCUCUCUUCCUAAAAAGAGAAAAAGUGCACACUCACUUGGGCUUGGUGCCAUUCAUGCCACCUGGGCCAUACCAGGCAGCCUCCUAUCCUGGAAGAAGUGAAGAACAUUCAAACUUCAGUUUAGAAGAAAAUUCUGGAAAGGGGGACUUCUCAUCAACAAUUUUCUGGGAGGUGGGAAGCAACAAUUACUUUUUGCCAAUGACCGUCCAAGAAGAGUAACACUGCUAUUCUCCUCCUGCCCUCGCC